GCAGUGGGGAGCUGUUGAGAGCAUUUUGAGUGGGGCAGUGACACUGCUGGCUCUGCAUUUUGGAAAGGUGGUUUUCAGAGCAGUUUGGAUGAUGCUGGGGAGUAGCUGACAGGUUGAAGAUCAGUCCUGAGGAGCAGAUUCAUAAUCCACUUAGGAAAAAGGAGGGGGGAUGCACGGAGUUAGCACAUAUUAAGUGCCUGCUGUAGUCAAGCCCUGUUGGACACCAGGGACAUCUGGACCUUGACAACGGAGCGAAGGGGUGGUCCUGCCUGCACCAGGUUUCAGGUGAGGAGAUUGAGGCCCACAGAGAUCCGGGACUGGCCUCACUUAGCUGUGGCUUCUCAGGCUUCUCUGCAGCAUGGGUGUUCCUGCCUUGGCCAGAGCCGAAAUCCCAGAGCAGUGAAAGAGGAGCCAGUGUCAUGGGGCUUCUGGUUUCAGGACACACUGGAAAGGCUGGUCCCUGAGUGCUCCAAGGACCCAUGCAUCUGACCAUAGGGGAUGCUGGGAGUAUCCUCCAUCCUGGCCUGAAAGAGCUCCCUUUCAGCUUCCUGGAUUCAUAUCUGUCUUUCUGAAAACUGACUUCCCAUAUUCCCAAAGCCAUCGCCAGCUCCCAGCUUUGUCAUUCAGGAAAAAGAGUAUGCACCUCCCCUUCAUCCUCCUCAUCUCUCACCAUCAUUAAGUACAAGCCCAAGGAGAAGAAUCAAGGGCAAUGAAUCUUCAUCAAACAAUAAAAUCCUGCCUGGGUCCAGCCACUUUGUCACAAGCUACAUCUAUGGCGAGCAACGACUCCCGGCUGCAGGGUGAGACAGAUAAGAGGAUAAGAGGGAGCAGGAGCAGACGGAGAAAGAAGGUGGCAAGACAGAGCAG
rnacentral:lncRNA from 1 species